UCACCUCCAAAACAUUUCCUGGUGUACCAGUGUGGAGACAAGAGGAAGAAAAAGCAGGUGGAAGACUGAAAAGUUUUCCUGAUUGUUCUUCUGAUAUAAAAGUUCCAUUCUAACUCCACAGCAUCAGUGUGAAAUGUGCUCUGUGUCUCCAGGGGUCUCUGCUCCAUCCUGACUGGACAUGUGGAAAAACAUUCGUCCAUAUCUGAAUCGUGAUGCAUCCAAGAAUGACAAAUUUCCCCCACUCUGGUGUGGAUGAAGAGGAGGACGGAUCAGAGUGUGAGGACAGGUUGUCUGUGAAGAGUGACCGGUCCAAAGGUGUUGUACCACUCUUCAGUGGUGAACCUGGACCUCUCGACUCAAGAGAGAAGAAGAGCAGUGAUGUCUGUGAGGAGCAGCCAGAAAGAUCCAGAAGCGUCGC